rnacentral:tRNA from 1 species
CCGAGGACGGCGCGCGCGGCGGCGCGGGCGGCGGUGGCGUCGCCGUCGAGGACGGCCGCAGUGAGGGCGCGGUAGCGGUCCGCGGGUUCGGCC